rnacentral:tRNA from 1 species
UGCAUCGGCCGAGAAUCGAACCUGGGCCGCCCGCGUGGCAGGUGAGCAUUCUACCACUGAACCACCGAUGC